AACGAACGCUGGCGGCAUGCCUAACACAUGCAAGUCGAACGAAGUCUUCGGACUUAGUGGCGCACGGGUGCGUAACGCGUGGGAAUCUGCCCUUGGGUGCGGAAUAACUUCUCGAAAGGGAUGCUAAUACCGCAUAAUGUCGUAAGACCAAAGAUUUAUCGCCCAAGGAUGAGCCCGCGUAAGAUUAGCUAGUUGGUGGGGUAAAAGCCUACCAAGGCGACGAUCUUUAGCUGGUCUGAGAGGAUGAUCAGCCACACUGGGACUGAGACACGGCCCAGACUCCUACGGGAGGCAGCAGUGGGGAAUAUUGGACAAUGGGCGAAAGCCUGAUCCAGCAAUGCCGCGUGAGUGAUGAAGGCCCUAGGGUUGUAAAGCUCUUUUACCCGGGAUGAUAAUGACAGUACCGGGAGAAUAAGCCCCGGCUAACUCCGUGCCAGCAGCCGCGGUAAU
rnacentral:rRNA from 1 species